GAUGGUCAUGACUAUACGUAGAAUUGACCGCUUCAUCAUAGUUUUCGUUUCGUAGUAUAUGUCAUCUCGAAACUUAUUGACGAAGGUGAAGUAAUCAUGCCACCACACACCAAGCACUCGUUCUCGUCUUCUUGAGUCCGUCAUCUCGAUGGGGCGUUCUUGAUGAUAUCCAUCUCUUGAGAGCGCUCUCAUCACGGUGUUUGAGUUAGAUAUCCAACCUCUCAUCUCGAAGCCUCCUUCUUUGUGUAUGUUAUGCGCUAGGCGGACCAUUUCGUCUUCCGAGUCCCAGCUUUGGAGCCAGUAAUCUACAAAGGUCGCUGCUGCUGGGAACAAGAAACACCAAAGGUCAUUACGCUCAUUACGUGCCUAUCCGGUUCUCGACUGGUGUCACCAUAUCUCCAGAGAACCUGCUAUUCCAAUAGACAUCUGUCAAAAUCGCGAUAUUACUCCUAGAAGCGAUGGCAAUUGGUCCGGGCCUUUUAGUAGCAUUGAAUUCCACUUUGGCUGCUGCGUCCCAUACGAGUCUUAAUUGGCCUUUGUUCGGGUCGGAUCGCGAAUGAAGGGGUUUUGCCCAUGCAGGUUGGUAGCCGGCGCCGGUGCGGCCAUUGGAUACCACAUAGCGCCAGCUGGUAUUGUCUCGUUCGGAUUCAGCCCAUUAGACAUUCCAAUCCGCGUUGCUUCCAUGGGUCUUUACAUGUGAACUCAUGAGGCCUCCUGCUUGAGGUAGUCUGGAAUGCGUCGGGAUGGGGCGCCUUCCCUCGCUAGAUUCCGACUAACGCCGUUUAUUUUACUCCGGUGUCUUUUUUCGCACAGUCCUGGUUUGUGGUUAUACACGAACCUCGUGUCGCUUGAAUGAAAGAGAUUAGCCUUUCCGUCCAACUGUAUGAGGAUAUCUCACCUGCAAAGUCGAAUCUGUCGUGAUGCAGCUGAUGUUACAACUAUUAUUGCCACGCCGGGCAACGCCUAUUCGCUUCUAGCUCUUGCUUAAGCCGGUUGUGUUUUUUUCUUGCUCCUGCGUUCUCCGCCCUUUGCUUCAAUAUCAUUCAACAUUGUUGUAACUUUGUUUUAAUAUAUCAUCGAAUCUCUUUAAUUUGAUUAUACUUUGUGUUAAUCACCAGUGUUUCGUUUGUAAAAAAGUGUUUAAUAUAAAUACAAUAUCGCAACGUAACGCAUCGGACUCGUGCAGGCAAUUUGUUAU